GAUGAACGCUGGCGGCGUGCCUAAUACAUGCAAGUCGAACGAACAGGCGCGGUGCUUGCUGCUCUGACGUUAGCGGCGGACGAGUGAGUAACAAGACGAUAACCUCCCUAUCAGACUUGCAUAACUUCGGCAAACAGGAGCUAAUAACGGGUAAUAUAUUGAACCUCAUGCUUGAUUAGUGUAAGAAGGAUUUGCUUUCACUGAUGGAUGGAUCCGCGGCGCAUUAGCUUGUUGGUGAGGUAAUGGCCUACCAAGGCAGCGAUGCGUAGCCGACCUGAGAGGGUGGUCGGCCACACUGGAACGGAGACGCCGUCCAGACUCCUACGGGAGGCAGCAGUAGUGAAGCUUACGCAAUGGGCGAAGGCCGGACGGUGCAACGCCGCGGGAGGGAUGAAGGUCUUCUGAGCGUAGAGCUCUGCUAUCAGGGAUGAACAAAUGUGUAAGUAUCUAUGCGCGUCUUGACGGUACCUGGUCAGAAAGCCACGGCUAACUACGUG
rnacentral:rRNA from 1 species